AGAAUGCCAGAAUUCUGGUGGGAGCGGGGGGACCAGCCAGAGGGCCGUCCAAGGCCCCUGAGAUGGCCACAGAGAAAAGGUAAAAGGUAGGCUGUGGGGGAGGAAAGGGCACUGCGCUGGGGGUCAGGAACCAGGGUGCCACUCCCAGCUGAGCCAGGCCAGUUGGGUGAGCCUGGGUGAGCCACUGCAUCUGUCCCAACUCAGCUCUUCACCCGGACCUUGGGAAAACUUCCCUCAUCCUCCUGCAGCCAUCACUCCACUUCACUCCUUCCCCUGCAGCAAGACUCCUUCAGUGUUGUCUACAUUUGCCUCUGAGUCCUUUUCCUUGAUUCUUUAAAAAAAUUUGCAAUUAUGAAUUACUUUUUAAAUAAAAAUAAUAUAUAUUUGUUAGGAAGAAUAUUAAAACAAACCUAUGUACCUGCCAGUCAGAUUAACAGAGGUAUCUGAAAUCCCAGACCGCGUCCCUCUCCCCUCCACUCACCAGUAACCACUAGUCCAAAUUCAGCAUAUAUCAUGUCCUUCCUUCUUAUUCAACUUUUAAAUGUUGGUAUACCCCUAUACUUUAUAUAAAUGGUAUCUCAUUAUACAUAUUUUGCUACUUUUAAAAUUUGUUAAGGGGUGAAUUGUGCCCUCAUCAAAAAAGACUGUGUUGUGAAUCCUGACCCCCAAUACUUCAGAACGGGACCUUUUUGAAAGAGGGUCUUCAUAGAAGCAAGCGAGUUACAAUGAGGUAGUCAGAGUGGGCCCUCAUCCAGUAUGACCGGCGUCCUUAUACCACAGGGACACCUGGAUACAGGGAGAAUGCCGUGGGAAGAUGGGAGGGAGGCUCCCACAAGCCAAGGAACUGCCAGGAACUAGGAGGGGGGCCUGGAACCCCUCCUUCCCUAGGGCCUUUGGAGGGAGGGCAGCCCUGUCGCACCUUAGUCUUGGACUUGCGGCCUCCAGCAGUGGGAAGGAUUAUAUUUGUUGUUCAAGCCACCCAGUCUGUGGCACUUUGCUACAGCAGGAAAUGGGUACCUCAUUCAAUUCUGUAUUCUUGAAAUAUACUUGUUAAUGAAUGAAGCUGAGGUUGUACAUGUCCUCUGCCGUGUUCUGUAUAGACAAUACACAGUUCACCCAUUUUACUUUGAAAAGCUAUGUGGCUUGCUUACAGGGUUUUGGCGCUGCCAACGGUGCUGCCCUGCACCUCCUGCAGGGUGUACCUACAAGGGACUGCCACUCAGGUCUAGAUGGCAAACACAAGCCUUGAUGGGCAGCAACAGUCAGCACAGUAAUGUCUUCCGUGAAGUAACUCUAAUUGCUAUCCCCUUUGCCAGUCUGGUGGCUGUAAAAUGGCAUUUCCUGAUGUGUUCAAUUUGCUUUUUCCUGCUUACUAAUGAAGGGAGCCUGCUGCACCCGGCCUCACAGCCUGACAGCUCCGCCCCAGCUCCUGGAGAGGCAACCACAACUGAAGACGGGCCUGUGACACCUGUGACCAGGGACCCUGGCGCCCUCCCGAGAGGAGACCACAGAACCAAGGAGGGAUGGAGCCCACCUCAGGGAGCUGGAAGACGCACACUGAAGAAGGCAGAUGGUAUUGUUCGUGCUCCUUGAAGCACACCGUGACACAAACUAAGCCAGAGCUCAGGCCGGACCCCCCAGGCACCUGCUGCCCUGGCCUGUGAUGCUGACUGGAAGUCCCCGAGUUUCUGGACGUCAGCACUGGGAGAGGACUAGAGAAAACGUCUGGAGGUGACAGAUGUAUUCAGUACCCUGAUUGUGGUGGCAGUUUCACAGAUGUACACAAGUCAAAACUUACCACAGUGUACACUUUAAAUAUGUCUGGUGUAGCCAUGUAUAGCUCCAUAAAGCUAUUAAAGAUUACAAAAUACUGUGGUGGCAAUUUUUCUUACAAGUUCAUGUUGAUAGGCAGAAGAAAGACUGGAAGGACAUUCCCCAAAAUGUUAACAGUAGUUAGUUUUGUGGGAUUAUAGGGGAUUUUAAUUUUCCUCUUUGUAUUGUUCUAGUGUUUAAAGACAUUCCAAAAUAAAUGUUUUACUCUUGUAGUCAGGAAAAAAAUGUGUUCACUCCGAAGUAACAGCAACCUCCUAGAGACUGGCAGCAGUGGGGCAAAACACUGGGCGUGUGGUGGGUGCUCGGUGCAGGGCUGACAAAGCCGGCCCUGAGCAGCCACCUGGGUCUCACCCUGGCUCUGCAUGUGAUCACUGAGGGCCUUGGGCUAGGCACUUGGCCGGUACCUCAGUUUCCCCAUGAUAACACUGAG